rnacentral:rRNA from 1 species
AUUGAACGCUGGCGGCAGGCCUAACACAUGCAAGUCGAGCGGAUGAAGGGAGCUUGCUCCUGGAUUCAGCGGCGGACGGGUGAGUAAUGCCUAGGAAUCUGCCUGGUAGUGGGGGAUAACGUCCGGAAACGGGCGCUAAUACCGCAUACGUCCUGAGGGUGAAAGUGGGUGAUCUUCGGACCUCACGCUCUCAGAUGAGCCUAGGUCGGAUUAGCUAGUUGGUGGGGUAAAGGCCUACCAAGGCGACGAUCCGUAACUGGUCUGAGAGGAUGAUCAGUCACACGGGAACUGAGACACGGUCCAGACUCCUACGGGAGGCAGCAGUGGGGAAUAUUGGACAAUGGGCGAAAGCCUGAUCCAGCCAUGCCGCGUGUGUGAAGAAGGUCUUCGGAUUGUAAAGCACUUUAAGUGGGGAGGAAGGGCAGUAAGUUAAUACCUUGCUGUUUUGACGUUACCAACAGAAUAAGCACCGGCUAACUUCGUG